rnacentral:rRNA from 1 species
CGGCCCUACGGGGGGCAGCAGUAGGGAAUCUUCCACAAUGGACGAAAGUCUGAUGGAGCAACGCCGCGUGAGUGAAGAAGGGUUUCGGCUCGUAAAGUUCUGUUGAAGGGGAAAAAGAGCGGAGAGAGGAAAUGAACUCCGAUUGAUAUUACCCUUCGAGGAAGUCACGGCUAACUACGUGCCAGCAGCCGCGGUAAUACGUAGGUGGCGAGCGUUAUCCGGAAUGAUUGGGCGUAAAGGGUGCGUAGGCGGCCUGCUAAGUCUGGAGUGACAGGAACCGGC